rnacentral:rRNA from 1 species
UAUUUUCGGAUACAGAAACCGGCGCACGGGUGCGUAACGCGUAUAUAAUCUACCUUAUACAGAGGGAUAGCCCGAAGAAAUUUGGAUUAAUACCUUAUAGUAUUAUUGAUUGGCAUCGAUUAAUAAUUAAAGCUGAGGCGGUAUAAGAUGAGUAUGCGUCCUAUUAGCUAGUUGGUAUGGUAACGGCAUACCAAGGCUACGAUAGGUAGGGGUCCUGAGAGGGAGAUCCCCCACACUGGUACUGAGACACGGACCAGACUCCUACGGGAGGCAGCAGUGAGGAAUAUUGGUCAAUGGUCGGAAGACUGAACCAGCCAUGCCGCGUGCAGGAAGACGGCCUUAUGGGUUGUAAACUGCUUUUGUAAGGGAAGAAUAAGUCGUAUGUAUACGGCGAUGACGGUACUUUACGAAUAAGCAUCGGCUAACUCCGUGCCAGCAGCCGCGGUAAUACGGAGGAUGCGAGCGUUAUCCGGAAUCAUUGGGUUUAAAGGGUCUGUAGGCGGGUUAUUAAGUCAAGGGUGAAAGUUUGUUGCUUAACGAUAAAAUUGCCUUUGAUACUGGUAGUCUUGAAUUUUUGUGAAGUUGCUGGAAUGUGUAGUGUAGCGGUGAAAUGCAUAGAUAUUACACAGAACACCGAUUGCGAAGGCAUGUGACUAACAAAGGAUUGACGCUGAGAGACGAAAGCGUGGGGAGCGAACAGGAUUAGAUACCCUGGUAGUCCACGCUGUAAACGAUGGAUACUAGCUGUUUGGAGCGAUCUGAG